UUAAAUCCUGGAACUUCCAUGGAAACUAAGAUUGCAAUCGAAGGGUUGCAGGUUCAAUUCCUGUCCGUUUCAAAUCGAAGGGUUGCAGGUUCAAUUCCUGUCCGUUUCA
rnacentral:tRNA from 1 species